GUCGCCGCUUCGGGGCCACUGGCUGGCCGCGCCGGGGCCGAGCGAGCCAUCUGCGGGCGCUCUGCUGAGCGGGCGACGGCGCGCGCUGCGCCGGGCUCCGCGCCUCGCGCUGCUGCCUCUUCCUGGACACACAGAGUGGCUGCUUGAUCUUCAACCUCCAGCAGUGAUCAGCUCAAGAGGACAGCUUGUGGAUUAAGCAAUGACCAGGUACAGAACACAUUUCAAAGCUUCAGGAUAACAGUAACUCUUGAUCUGUCAGUAGCAUCUAAGGAGACCAAGAAGCAGGCAUAGGGACUCCAUCAGCUCUCAUGAUUGGAAAUCAGUCCUUGAUAUGCCUUCUUUUUUCUAGAUGGUUCAUCCUGGAGCUGUGAUGCAUGAAUUCUUCUGAAACCUGUUUAACCCUGUUUAGAUUGUUUGAUUACAUAGCCUUGUAAGGAUACA